CACGCCGUAAACUAUGCGCGUUAGGUGUAUCGGUGACCACGAGUUACCGAGGUGCCGAAGGGAAACCGUGAAACGUGCCGCCUGGGAAGUACGGUCGCAAGGCUGAAACUUAAAGGAAUUGGCGGGGGAGCACCACAACAGGUGGAGCCUGCGGUUUAAUUGGACUCAACGCCGGGAAGCUCACCGGAUAGGACAGCAGAAAUGAUAGUCGGGCUGAAGACUCUACUUGAUGAUCUGAGAGGUGGUGCAUGGCGUCAGUGACU
rnacentral:rRNA from 1 species